rnacentral:rRNA from 12 species
UGAAACUCAAAGGAAUUGACGGGGGCCCGCACAAGCGGUGGAGCAUGUGGUUUAAUUCGAAGCAACGCGAAGAACCUUACCUACUCUUGACAUCCACAGAACUUUUCAGAGAUGAAUUGGUGCCUUCGGGAACUGUGAGACAGGUGCUGCAUGGCUGUCGUCAGCUCGUGUUGUGAAAUGUUGGGUUAAGUCCCGUAACGAGCGCAACCCUUGUCCUUAGUUGCCAGCACAUAAUGGUGGGAACUCUAAGGAGACUGCCGGUGACAAACCGGAGGAAGGUGGGGACGACGUCAAG